rnacentral:lncRNA from 1 species
AUAUUUCUCUUACCUAGACCAAGAGGAUCAAAACCAAAAUCUCCAGGUAGGCUGCAUAGCAGAAUUAAAAUCUAACUUCAGCAACAUAGUGUUACUGUGCUCUUACUUGAAAAAAAAUAUGUACACAAAAAUAAAAAAGACUGCUCUUAUGUUAAUUUGUAAUAUCAUAUAGUGGACUACAAAUGAAAUCAUCAUCAGACCUUCCAUCAAGCCAUGGAGGAGGGGUGCUGCCAGGGAACCAGAGGGGCCUUUCAGGGUCAGCUACAGCGCAAACAGUACUGACUGAUCGUGUUCCAGCUGGUGCGGUAAACUUGCUCACUCUCAGUCUUCUCCCACCAAGAAAAGAAG